UGACGUAGUAGUGGUGUGGCAGAUAAACUUUAAGGUGGUCCCACGACCCCUUCCUCUUGGUAUUCUGGCCUUUGUGUAAUUGUUUUCUUCUUAGGUGUAGACCAGACCCAUGACUUGCUCCUAAACAACAGAAUAUGGCAAAUGGAAUGGCACGUCAUUCCCAUGAUUAUGUGACGUUAUAUGACUUUGUCUUGCUAGCUGGCUGGCUCCACAGACGUUCUCUCUCCCUUGCUGGCUGUGAAAAAGCAAGCUGCCAGAACUCCUAAAGCCACAUGGAACUCAUUGCUGCUAAAAGGAAUUGGGAAGCAAAUCCUUCCCUAGCUGAGCCUCCGGUUGAGAGCCAGCCCUGGCCAACACCUUGAAUGUAGCCUUGUAAGACCUUCAGAGGAGGACCAAGCUAUGCCAUGUCCAGAUGUGUGACCUGCAGAAACUCUGAGAGCCUCUGAUGAGAAUUCAGCCCAGCUGACACCUUGAUGUCCACCUUGUGAUACCCUGAGAAGAAUCCCUGCCCCACCAUGCUGAACUUUUGAUCUACAAAACUGUGAGCUAAUAAAUGGAUGUUGUUUUAAGCAGCUAAGUUUGUGGUAAUGUGUUACACAGCAAUAGAAAACUAACAUACAUGGUUAUUUAUAUUAUUAUAGCUAUAUCUUUUAC